GGGAAUGUGGCUUAGUGGUAGAGUGCUUGCCUAGCAUGCAUGAAGCCCUGGGUUUGAUUCCUCAGUACCUCUU
rfam:Dipodomys ordii contig_9360, whole genome shotgun sequence.